CGUAUGUAUUUGUUAUGUGUGCCGUGCGCGUAUGUAAUUUAUUGUUGUGAAAAUUAUAUGUUUCUUCAUAUGUGCAAAUAGAGAAUCAUUUGAAGCACAAAAGAAAGAACAUCGCGAUGAAAAUACAGUUCGUUGAUAGUGUUGACAACGAUACCGAUGUUCCAACAAAUAGCGACAAUUUAUCGCAUUUUAUCGGGAAAAUGAGUUUUAAGAGCUUAAUGAGCCUUUUUCCCCGUUUCCAGGGAGCGCUAUCAGAUUUAAGAAAUGAACAACUCGUGGCAUGGGCUUGUCACUAGCGCAUCACAUUUUUUCGAGUGGAACAAAAAGAAAAGAUUCUUCAUAAAUGCUUACACGAUUCAAUGCCGGCACACCUCAUGGCAACACAAUGGCAGAAAAAUUUCGCCACAUCAAGAUUUACUGCGCUUUGUUUUCCAACCCGAAUCGCCACUGUUAAUAUAUCUAUGCGAACAUUUCAUUCUAUGACGAUAGUUCACCAACAUAGUUCACCAGAAUAGUUAUUGCCGUUGAGAACAAGACACGUCAAACCUAUUAUUCUGAAACAGCACACCAAUAUGACUCGAUAAAAGUGUAUUGAGUUGGUUGUCACGCGAUUAAAUCAUAUAAUUUUAAAUCAUGAACCUUCCCCAUGGCGGAUUUGAAGAAAAACGAAACUCAAUGGCCCAAUAAAAGUGGAAUAUUUGGAACUAUUUGAAUAUAACAUACUGCCCGAAAGGUAAUUAUUACUUUCCUACCGCUCGGAAAUUAUUUAUCAGAUUGACUAUGGCUAGUCCUGCAACCUAAAUUCAAAGUUGGAAAAAACAUGUACACAAACACACGCAUAUUCCCACUGAAAAUCAAUAACAUCGAAUAUGACCACAAUAAACGUGAAUUUAUAAAAGCGUUUUAUUUAUAUUUCGCAUCGUUGGGUAAAUGUUAAUAUUUAGCCGUUGUUGAGUGGGCUGAUUAAUGUCCAAUCGAGUGGAGUGCGCGCUUGGUGUCGCAUUUACCAUGAAUCAAAACUAUUAUACACGUAUAACCACUAUGUUUGCGUGUUUCAACAUUAUGUCACCGUACAAAAGCGUUGUCGUCAUUUUCGUCCGUUAAGUGUUAAUGAAAAGUUAGAACUCGAUGCUAUUUGAACUAAUGCACUUGGCAACUACAAAUGGCUCGAUGAAACUUUUAUAGAAUAUUUCUCGGUGGUUAUUUUCAUGUUGUUAGGUCGAUUCGAUUUCAUUUCCAUAUGAUUUUCGGUAUAAUUUCCAUAAUUGAUUGAGUGAAACGGAAGAGAGUAUAUUAGAGGAAUACAUAAUGUGUGCAUGACCGAUGGCAUAUGUUAGCGUUUUGAUCAAAUGAAUAUGCACUGGUUGGUUCGGUGGGUAAUGGCACCUGAGCAACAAACAACAUUUAAAAUUGAUUCUGUUGUCGUGGGCAUUCUGGUUUGCAUUUAAAUUUUCUAACGGUUUUUCUUUAUCUGAUGGUAAAACUGGGAUCUCAAGAAACCUCUCUGCGAGCAAAUGAAAAAAGCUCAAAAAACCAGACUCUUUUAGUUAAUAAAAGAGAAAAUUACAGCAAGUUUAUUUAAUAAAUUCAGCUCUUUAUAGUU